rnacentral:rRNA from 1 species
GCGCAGCAGGCGCGAAACCUCCGCAAUACACGAAAGUGUGACGGGGCCAUCCCGAGUGCCGUCCGCUGAGGACGGCUUUUCCCCAGUGUACAUAGCUGGGGGAAUAAGGAGAGGGCAAGCCUGGUGUCAGCCGCCGCGGUAAUACCAGCUCUCCGAGUGGUGGGGACGCUUAUUGGGCCUAAAGCAUCCGUAGCCGGCUAGGCAAGUCCUCCGUUAAAUCCAACGAUUCAAUCGUUGGGCUGCGGGGGAUACUGUCCAGCUUGGGGGGCGGGAGAGGCCGACGGUAUUCCCGGGGUAGGGGUGAAAUCCUAUAAUCCCGGGAGGACCACCAGUGGCGAAGGCUGUCGGCUAGAACGCGCCCGACGGUGAGGGGAUGAAAGCGUGGGGGAGCGAACCGGAUUAGAUACCCCUGUAGU